GACGAACGCUGUCGGCGUGCCUAAUACAUGCAAGUAGAACGCAGUUGCGAACGGGUGAGUAACGCGUAGGUAACUGCCUCAUAGCGGGGGAUAACUAUUGGAAACGAUAGCUAAUACCGAAUACUGUGAGAUGGACCUGCGUUGUAUUAGUUAGUUGGGGAGGUAAAGGCGCACCAAGGCGAUGAGACAUAGCCGACCUGAGAGGGUGAUCGGCCAGACUGGGAAUGAGACAAGGCGCAGACGCCGUCGAGAGGCAGCGAUUAGAAAUCUUCGGCAAUGAACGGAAGUCGGACCGAGCAACGCGGCGUGAGUGAAGAAGGAUUUCGGAUCGUAAAGCUCUAUUGUUAGAGAAGCGGUAACUAACCAGAGAGGGACGGCUAACUACGUGCCAGCAGCCGGGGUAAUUC
rnacentral:rRNA from 1 species